AUUGAACGCUGGCGGCAGGCCUAACACAUGCAAGUCGAACGAGUGGCGGACGGGUGAGUAAUGUCUGGGCAACUGCCUGAUGGAGGGGGAUAACUACUGGAAACUGUAGCUAAUACCGCAUACCAUCGGAUGUUCCCAGAUGGGAGUAGCUAGUAGGUGGGUUAAAGGCUCACCUAGGCGACGAUCCCUAGCUGGUCUGAGAGGAUGACCAGCAACACUGGAACGGAGACACGGUCCAGACUCCUACGGGAGGCAGCAGUGGGGAAUAUUGCAAAAUGGGCGCAAGCCUGAUGCAGCCAUGCCGCGUGUAUGAAGAAGGCCGUCGGGUUGUAAAGGACUUGCAGCGGGGAGGCGUUACCCGCAGAAGAAGCACCGGCUAACUCCGUGCCAGCAGCCGCGGUAAUAC
rnacentral:rRNA from 1 species